rnacentral:rRNA from 1 species
GUCUACAGCCAUACCACCCUGAACACACCCGAUCUCAUCUGAUCUCGGAAGCUAAGCAGGGUCGGGCCUGGUUAGUACUUGGACGGGAGAAAAGUGUAUUUAAAUA